AAAAAUCUAUGCCAGCCCCAUAAGUCAUUGUGCUAUGUAGGGUGUAUAUAUAUAUAUAUAUAUAUAUAUAUAUAUAUAUAUAUAUACACCCUACAUAGCACAAUGACUUAUGGGGCUGGCAUAGAUAGUU